AUUGAACGCUGGCGGCAGGCCUAACACAUGCAAGUCGAACGAGUGGCGGACGGGUGAGUAAUGUCUGGGAAACUGCCUGAUGGAGGGGGAUAACUACUGGAAACGGUAGCUAAUACCGCAUACCAUCGGAUGUGCCCAGAUGGGAUUAGCUAGUAGGUGGGGUAAAGGCUCACCUCGGCGACGAUCCCUAGCUGGUCUGAUAGGAUGACCAGCCACAGUGGAACGGAGCCACUGUCAAGACUCUGACGUGAGGCAGCAGUGGGGAAUAUUGCACAAAGGGCGCAAGCCUGAUGCAGUCAUGCGGCGUGUAAGAAGAAGGCCUUCGGGUGGUAAAGUCCUUUCAGCGGGGAGGCGUUACACGGAGAUGAAGCACCGGCUAACUCCGUGACAGCAGCCGCGGUAAUUC
rnacentral:rRNA from 1 species